AAACCAACAGGGAUUGCCUUAGUAACUGCGAGUGAAGCGGCAAGAGCUCAAAUUUGAAAUCUGGCACUUUUAGUGUCCGAGUUGUAAUUUGUAGAAGCAACUUUUGGAUUGGUUCCUUGCAUAUGUUCCUUGGAACAGGACAUCAUAGAGGGUGAGAAUCCCGUUCAUGGUGGGGAAUUUCAAUUUGUUGUAAAGUGCUUUCGAAGAGUCGAGUUGUUUGGGAAUGCAGCUCUAAGUGGGUGGUAAAUUCCAUCUAAAGCUAAAUAUUGGCGAGAGACCGAUAGCGAACAAGUACAGUGAUGGAAAGAUGAAAAGUACUCCGAAAGGAGAGUGAAAAAGGACGUGAAAUUGUUGAAAGGGAAGUGCUUGAGAUCAGUCUUAAGGAUUUAACGAUCAAUCUUCCUUUUUUGGUUGAUGCACUCGUUUUUUUCUUAGGCCAGCAUCAGUUUUUGUGGCAGGAUAAUGACAUUGGAAUGUGGCUCUUUCGGGAGUGUUAUAGACUUUGUUGAUACUGCUUACUUAGACUGAGGACCGCGCUUUUAGCUAGGAUGCUGGCAUAAUGAUCUUAAUCAGC
rnacentral:rRNA from 1 species